UUAAAAGCAGUGGAGUACUCAUCUGUCUCAGCUGGAAAUCACCUUAGAAGUCUGAGGAAAAAAAAAAAAUAAGGGUUACCUCUGCACACAUCAGUCUCUGCCAGCCAAGAGUGCCAUGCAUUAUUACUGAAAGAGGCUGUGUAUGAGGAUAUAUGGGACUAAAAGUUGUACAUAAGAUCUGGUUGCAGUGAAGACCUUGGCAAACGUCCUCUAAAGAACUUUGCUGAUGUGGCUGAAGACAUAGCCAUGGCUGUCCUUGUGCCUUGCCCUUCUUCUGUGACUUGCCUCAUCCCCACAAGCAGG
rnacentral:lncRNA from 1 species